ACAAAGUCCAGUGGGCACCUCGGAGCAAGAGGGGGCUCCAGCUUGAGCCCUGGUGAGGGUGCCGGGAGGGGUGCAGAGGAAUAGGGAUAACUGUCUAUCCCAACAGGGGGCAUGUAGGGAGUCUGGGCUGCCUGUUGCCUCAGGUAGGGGCUGCCCAGCCCACCAGCUUGGUAUGCAGCCCCCUUGUGGGCUCCCAGAGGCGGCAGUGGGAGCAAAGAGCCAUAGCUUCCCUGCUUUUCUGGGUGGCGACAAGAUGGAGGGCAAGGCAAGGCCUGUGGGGGUGGGGGCAAUGGAUAGUGGGCUGGCACUGCAUCCUGGCAAGGUGGUCCUAGGGGCUGGGUGAGCUGGGUCCAAGGUCCGGAGGGCCCCUCAGACAUUGCUUGCUUGGGAUCCCCAGAGUAAGGACCAGGGUACUUGGAAGCCA
rnacentral:lncRNA from 1 species